rnacentral:lncRNA from 1 species
CCAGGUUUGCAGAUACUUUUAUUAAAGCUCUUCCGGGUGGCCAAAUGCCAGUGGAACCGACGGUAGGAGUAGAGUGGACAGUGAGUGAAAACUUGUUGAGUGACUCUCAGGAAGAGUUAGCACUCAAAUUUCAGGUAUACAAACUCAUUCUAACCACUCCAUUCACUAGACCUCAUGAUGAGGUUCCGCAGGAUCCCAGCUCCAGCUCAGGAUACAUUACUCAUUGCAGAAGAUUUUGAAUUUUUCUCUUCUCUCUUUCCAGCUUUUCCCAACACCGGCUGUGAGGUUUGUCCACGACUCCUCCAACAUUUAAUGGGAAAGGCGCUUAGAAGAAGGCAAAGUAGGGAGGACUUUGCGGCUGUAUUUCUCAAACCCGUAAAGGGAGAGCGAUAAUGGGUGAGGGGCGUGCAGACUAGCUCCUUCCUUGCCCAAUCAGGUGCACAGGAAGAUGUCCUUUUACCAAUAAAAAUAAAGUUCGCUUUCCGGAGGCGGGAGGGUGAGCCUUGACUGCCAGUUCUCCAAAGCAACGAUAGAAUAGAGGACAUAGAGUGAUUGGAGGUAGGACCAACCCAGGAAAAGGGGCGCGGUGGGGGGGGUGGGGGUAAUUCUGAGCGGCGGCUGGACUGGCCAGUGGAGUGCGAGGGUUGCUGUUCCUGUUGUAGUGUUGCUCGCCAAUCAGGAAGGCGAGGGAGUGGGCGGGGCGGGGAAGGGGUGGGAAGAGCUCGCAGCACCGCCGGGCGCCCGUCGGGCUCUGGGAGAGAGAGAGAAAUCCGGUUAAAAUCAGAGUCGGAGGGAGGUUUAACCACAGAUCGGUUCCGAUCGGAUUAUUCCUUAAAGGGGACGCGCCAUUGUCAAGAGAACGGAGCCUGGGGCCCGAGGGCGGGGACCGGCGGCGCCUGAGGAGCGAGGCAGCUGCACUUGGACUGGGGACGGGAAAAAAGACAGUGUGUAUCUCAGCACAGAAACUGGUGUGAAGUGCCAGUCACACAGGAUUCACGCCAAAAUGGUAAAGGAAUAGUCGAAUGAGAGAAGAAACCGAGAUGAGAUUAUUUUGAACGGCCAUUUUUUAUCAAACCUCAGGCACUUUGAUGCUGAUGCUUUCUUGAUGUUUCCAAGAGAUGUCAACAUAAGGUUUUCAGCAACUACAUCCUGCUCUUGGAUGACAGCAUUGUAAGAUAACGUCUCUUAUUUCGGAGCAUCCAUACUUUAGAGAGAUUAAAGUGUUGUUUUUAAAAA